rnacentral:lncRNA from 1 species
AAGAACUGUACUCAGCAGGCAUGGGAACCAGCUAUGCUGGCUAGUUACAUGUUGACUUGAAACAAGCUGGUGUCAUUGUAGAAAACAGAAAUCUCAAUUGAGAAAAUACUUCCACUAGAUAUGCCUGUGAUGCAUCUUCUUCAUUUAUGAUUGAGUAAGUAGGCUCAGUUCACUGUGGACACUGCUACCACUGGGCUUGAAGGUCCUCAGUGCUAAAAGAAAGCAGAUUGAGUGAGACAGAAGCACUCCUCCAUGGCUUCUGCAUAAAUUCCUGCCUCCAGGUUCCUGCUUGAUUCCUGCUUUGACUUCAUUCAGUGGACUGUGACCCGGGAUAUAUGCACCAAAUAUACCUCCUUCCCAAGCUGCUUUUGGUCAUGGUGUUUUAUCACAGCAAUGGAAAUCCAGACCAAGACAUCAGUAUGAACAGAAAGGUAGAAAUGGGUUUUGAAUCAGAGAUAGGCAAAUAUAUUACAAUUGUUACAACUGUUGCUCAUUUGGAAAGAAGAAAAAAAAAAGCAAGAAUGGGGUUGGAUAAAAAAAGUGCAGACAUAAGACCCGAAGAGCUAGAAGCAAAAUAUGUCAUAUUUUAUGUAGAUAAUCAAACAAUAAUGUGAAACACAAAAACCCAAGAAACAUAUAGACUAUCUGAAGAAAUGCAACCUAUAUUUGCUUCUCAUAGCAUAGCCAUGGUGAGAGCUUAAACAUUGCACAGAGAUUUAUUUUACAGAGGCGCUGCUCAUUGCCUGAUUUUCUUCUUUUUAAAUGUAGAAAUGCGAUCAAAAGCAAUCUAUCAAGGAAUCAGACUGUCCAAAUUUUACCAACAUCUAGAGUAACUUGUGUUUCUUUCCUACUUGAAAGUAUUUUAAAAAUGAGAAAGGGAAAAACAGAGCAGACAUGAAAAUGAGCUCCCAACCUGUGUUUCCAAAGUAGGCUGUGAUCUGUGUAAUGCACUACACAACUAAAUCAAGAUAAAUAAUAAUUUUCAAUUAUAGGAAGAGGAGCAAACUUGCUUAGAUGUCUUAAAAUGAGAAUUGUUAUGCCAAUGGGUCUUCAGGGAAAACACCUCCCAAUGGAAGAGCUUAAUCAAAUAGACUCCCAUGGGACACAGUGCGUCUCCCUGCUUAAUGGGCAUAAUAGCAUCUUUUAAAUUGGACAGACACUAUUGUCACAGCAGACAUGGCUUUCUGCAGGGCUGGAAAAGCCCAUCCUUCUGAUGGGGGGGCAGUGACAGAGCAAACAUUUCUAUGAAUAAGCCUUCUAUCUUUCCCUCUGUUAGGUUCAGAUAAAUAAUUGAACCCUAAGUGUUUUAAUCUCUGAAAGGGGUCACUUCUAAUUUUACCAAGUUAAGUUUCUGACAACGGACUGUAAAAACUGACAAAGGGGCUCUUGCUCUUACCUUUCUGCUCCCGCUCUGUCCCUUUGGCACUUUGCUCCUUUCUCUCCAUGUGCUCAUGGCUGAACUCUUGGACUCUUCUACUGCCCUCUCAACUCCCCUCUCCAUGCCCUGAAUAAACUCUAUUCUAUACUAAAACAAAACAAAACGAAACCUGACAAAGGUAGAGAUACCAAAGUAUGGCUAAAAACUUACUUUAUCAAUGGGAAAGCUAGAAUUUGGGGAUCUUGCCCUAUUGAUUUACAAAGGAUUAGGGGGACAAUCCCUCAGGUAUUGAAUGAAACGUUGGUGAGGACAAAAAGACUUUUUCAAAAUACAUUCAUUACAGGGACAAGCAUCACUGUAUCUAAAGUGAGAGAUUAUGUUAUACUUCUACUGCAGCUACUAGAGCAAGCACAUUCUAGAUUGGACAGUGCAAAAGCAAUAAACAAAAAGUACCACUCAGUGUAAUUCUAGUGCAUUGUAAUUUGCCGAGGACAGGGCUUCAUGACAUCUCCCUGAGGAAGCUGAAAGUGUCUGAUUCAGCGACCAGAGCACAGUGGAGAGGUCCUGCUCUGCCUGAAACAGAUGCUGUUCUGAUCAAGUGCUGUUUCCCUGAGAACACACUGGCAACCGGCCAGCCCUGCAUCCAUCGUCCGUGGGGCAGCACUAAAUGCGUGUAAUCAUACCUAGCCAUUGACAAGAGCUACCGAACACCUGCUAUCUUCCAGGCUGCAUCCUGUGCAUAAUAAAGGCAUUGUUUAAGUAAAACAUUUUGUAAGAUGCAAGGCCCAUGCUAUCCUUAAGUAUUACUAUUGAAGCCUGGAGAUAAAGGUGAGACCUGGAUCCAUUCUGCCUUCCCCUGGCUUGCAGCAGCACGAAGCAGUGAUUCUUGCCAUUUGACACAGCCGCAUGGUAUGAGUUCUCACGGUUUUUGUAAACGUAAUGACCCAGUUUCAAUCGCGAUCUUAUUAUUUAUCGACCAUGUGACAUUGGGAACAUAACAUGUCUGGCCUCAGGUGGCUCUCAUAGAAAUCAUGGUUAUCAUGCAGUGUGGUUAACUGGAAAUCCUGUAAAGGGACCAUGAGCUUGUGAAGGACUUGGCUUUCUGCUUUACUCUUGCAGUGCCUGGACCACUCGAGGAUAAAGGCAGAAUAGGGGCUCAACACAGUUAACUUGCAAAGCCCUUCAUGUGUAAGGUGAGCCCACAGUACAGGGGAAGCUUGCUUAAUGGUGUCACCAUGGUCCACAGCUCCCUGUGUCUACAUAGUCAGAGGCAGGGCCAGCCAGAUGACUCAUGGAAAUGCAACACAGAGGCAGAAACUGCAUGUUUUCUCAAUCGUGAAUUUUUGCAUUAACUUUGUCUUAGAAAUAUAACGUGACGGUAAGCAGGGAGAUGACUCCGUAGGUAAGAGUGUGUGCUAUGCAAGCAUGAGGACCUGAGUCCAAAUCUCC